UAGCAUAUCAAUAAGCGGAGGAAAAGAAACCAACAGGGAUUACCUCAGUAACGGCGAGUGAAGCGGUAAUAGCUCAAAUUUGAAAUCUGGCUUCGGUCCGAGUUGUAAUUUGUAGAAGAUGCUUCGGGUGUGGCUCCGGUCUAAGUUCCUUGGAACAGGACGUCAUAGAGGGUGAGAAUCCCGUAUGUGACUGGGUGCCUUCGCCUAUGUGAAGCUCUUUCGACGAGUCGAGUUGUUUGGGAAUGCAGCUCAAAAUGGGUGGUAUAUUUCAUCUAAAGCUAAAUAUUGGCCAGAGACCGAUAGCGCACAAGUAGAGUGAUCGAAAGAUGAAAAGCACUUUGGAAAGAGAGUUAAACAGUACGUGAAAUUGUUGAAAGGGAAGCGUUUGCAACCAGACUUGCACGUUGCCGAUCAUCCGGUGUUCUCACCGGUGCACUCGGUUUCGUUCAGGCCAGCAUCGGUUUGGGUGGUUGGAUAAAGACCUUGGGAAUGUAGCUUCUUUCGGGGAGUGUUAUAGCCCUCGGUGCAAUGCAGCCUACCUGGACCGAGGACCGCGCUUCGGCUAGGAUGCUGGCGUAAUGGUUGUAAACGACCCGUCUUGAAACACGGACCAAGGAGUCUAACAUCUAUGCGAGUAUUUGGGUGUUAAACCCAUAUGCGUAAUUAACGUGAACGGAGGUAAGAGCCCUUAAGGGUGCAUUAUCGACCGGUCCUGAUGUCUUCGGAAGGAUCUGAGUAAGAGCAUAGCUGUUGGGACCCGAAAGAUGGUGAACUAUGCCUGAAUAGGGUGAAGCCAGAGGAAACUCUGGUGGAGGCUCGCAGCGGUUCUGACGUGCAAAUCGAUCGUCAAAUUUGGGUAUAGGGGCGAAAGACUAAUCGAACCAUCUAGUAGCUGGUUCCUGCCGAAGU
rnacentral:rRNA from 1 species